AGAUUGAACGCUGGCGGCAUGCCUAACACAUGCAAGUCGAACGGGAGUAGCAAUACUCUAGUGGCGGACGGGUGAGGAAUACGUAGGAAUUUGCCCUUAAGUGGGGGAUAACCCGGGGAAACCCGGAUUAAUACCGCAUGACCUCGAAAGAGCAAAGUGGGGGAUCGCAAGACCUCACGCUUUUGGAGAAGCCUAACGUCGGAUUAGCUAGUUGGUGAGGUAAUGGCUCACCAAGGCGACGAUCCGUAACUGGUCUGAGAGGAUGAUCAGUCACACCGGAACUGAGACACGGUCCGGACUCCGUACGGGAGGCAGCAGUGGGGAAUAGUGGACAAUGGGCGCAAGCCUGAUCCAAGCAAUGCCGCGUGUGUGAAGGAAGGACCGUUAAGGGUUGUAAAGGCUUCCUUUUAACCCGGA
rnacentral:rRNA from 1 species